GAUGAAGAACGCAGCGAAAUGCGAUAAGUAGUGUGAAUUGCAGAAUUCAGUGAAUCAUCGAAUCUUUGAACGCACAUUGCGCCCGCCAGUAUUCUGGCGGGCAUGCCUGUCCGAGCGUCAUUUCAACCCUCGAACCCCUCCGGGGGGUCGGCGUUGGGGAUCGGCCCUGCCUCUUGGCGGUGGCCGUCUCCGAAAUACAGUGGCGGUCUCGCCGCAGCCUCUCCUGCGCAGUAGUUUGCACACUCGCAUCGGGAGCGCGGCGCGUCCACAGCCGUUAAACACCCAACUUCUGAAAUGUUGACCUCGGAUCAGGUAGGAAUACCCGCUGAACUUAAGCAUAUCAAUAAGCGGAGGA
rnacentral:misc_RNA from 1 species